rnacentral:rRNA from 1 species
UAAAGAGCCGCGGUAUUUUGACCGUGCAAAGGUAGCAUAAUCAUUAGUCUCUUAAUUAGAGGCUGGAAUGAAUGGUUUGACAGUCAAAUCAACUGUCUCUUAAUAAAUCUUAAAAUUUAACUUUUGAGUUAAAAGGCAAAAAUUUUUCUUGAGGACGAGAGGACCCUAUAGAGCUUGACAUUUUAAUUAAAUAUCUUUUUAAGUUAGUCUUUUUAUAUUUAAUAAUAAUGUUUUAUUGGGGUGAUAUGAAGAAUUAAGAAACUCUUCAUUAUAAAAUCAUUAAUUUAUGUUUAUUUGAUCCAUAAUUUAUGAUCAUAAGAUUAAGUUACCUUAGGGAUAACAGCGUAAUUGUUUUUGAGAGCUCAUAUCGACAAAGCAGAUUGCGACCUCGAUGUUGGAUUAAGAAAAGUUUUGGGUGCAGUA